rnacentral:rRNA from 1 species
CCUACGGGCGGCAGCAGUGGGGAAUAUUGGACAAUGGGCGAAAGCCUGAUCCAGCCAUGCCGCGUGUGUGAAGAAGGCCUUCGGGUUGUAAAGCACUUUCAGUGGGGAAGAAAGCCUUGGGGCUAAUACCCUCGAGGAAGGACAUCACCCACAGAAGAAGCACCGGCUAACUCCGUGCCAGCAGCCGCGGUAAUACGGAGGGUGCGAGCGUUAAUCGGAAUUACUGGGCGUAAAGCGCGCGUAGGCGGUCUGAUAAGCCGGUUGUGAAAGCCCCGGGCUCAACCUGGGAACGGCAUCCGGAACUGUCAGGCUAGAGUGCAGGAGAGGAAGGUAGAAUUCCCGGUGUAGCGAUGAAAUGCGUAGAGAUCGGGAGGAAUACCAGUGGCGAAGGCGGCCUUCUGGACUGACACUGACGCUGAGGUGCGAAAGCGUGGGUAGCAAACAGGAUUAGAUACCCGGGUAGUC